AGUGAACGCUGGCGGCAUGCCUAACACAUGCAAGUCGAACGGCAGCACAGUAAGAGCUUUCUCUUACGGUUGGCGAGUGGUGGAUGGGAGAGGGAUACAUAGGAAUCUACUUUUUCGUGGUGGACAACGUAGUGAAACAUACGCCAAUACCGCAUACGGUCUACGGGGGGAAGCAGGGGAUCUUCGGCCCCUGCGCGAUUGGAUGUGCCGAUGUCGGAUUAGCUAGUUGGCGGGGUAAAGGCCCACCAAGGCGACGAUCAGUAGCUGGUCUGAGAGGAUGAUCAGCCACACUGGAACUGAGACACGGCCCAGACUCCUACGGGAGGCAGCAGUGGGGAAUUUUGGACAAUGGGGGCAACCCUGAUCCAGCAAUGCCGCGUGUGUGAAGAAGGCCUUCGGGUUGUAAAGCACUUUUGUCCGGAAAGAAAACGCGCUGGUUAAUACCUGGCGGGGAUGACGGUACCGGAAGAAUAAGCACCGGCUAACUACGUG
rnacentral:rRNA from 1 species